rnacentral:lncRNA from 1 species
GAAGAAGCAAAUAUGAACACAUGUGAUACUUGAAGAAGAGAAAAUUAUUCUUGUGCAAGGAGCUUUUGAUAUCUUUUAAACUUCUCUGAAAAAAAUGAUGCAAAGAAGAGUCCAACAAUUAGAUUUAUUUUCUUGUCAAAUAGACAAAGGUGAAAAUGAAUUAGGGCUUUGUACUCGUAUCUUCUUUGAUCCAGCAGAUGAGGAUGAAAAGGAACCAGGUGUUUUUAUUACUGAAAUUGCUGAAGGGGGUGCAGCCCACAAACUUGGAUGUAUCCAUUUAUUUGACCAGAUUAUUAAAAUAGGUGAAACCAAUCUAAUUGGAUUAGAUGAAGAAGAAAUCUUCUCUACUUUUAAAAAAAAUGGAAAAUUGUGUUUUCCGGAUUGAAAUUGGAAGAGAGCCACCUGAAGUCAAGACAGAACUCAUCAUACUCCUUGAAUUGUCAGAGGAAAGGAAGAAAUUUUUUACAGAUUCAGUCAUAGUUCAGGAAAAAGUUGGAGAUAUCAAAAUUGUGAAAGGAAAAGCAAGAAAUUCUAAAACUCCGAAAAUAUCAUGGCUCUGGAUCACCAGAGAACUGGAAUUAAAAAAUGAAGAGAUGGAAUUGAAAAGAAUAAUAGAAGAAGAAGGUCAGAAAUAUAAAAAAGACCUCAAGGAAAUUGAUGAAAUGACUAACAACUUGAUAGAGAAACUUAAAAAAUACGUGAACAUAUCUGAAGUGAAUAUCGGAAAUCAGCCUGAGGAGACAGUAAAAGAAGAUAUAACAACAGGGCAAUUAUUGGCCGCAGAGGACAUCAGUUUAGAUAUCACAAUUAAAAAAGAACAAGUAGCAGAAUUAGUAGAAGAGGAGAUCAGCAGUGGCAAACCUGCAGUGGGAAAAGCUCCAAUGCAGUUUUCCUGGUUUUGCAAUGUCCAAGGAUACAAUUGGAGGAACUUCUUUUGUUUUAAAAAACAUGAUAAACAAGUAAAGAAUGUGCGCAAGCAGGAAGAAACUGACCUAAAGCUGCUGGUGUCUGACUGGACAGAAACUCAAGUGGGCCAUUGGUUAAAGAGUAUUGGAAUGAAAAAAUAUAUCCUGAAAUUUGAUUAUAAAAGAAUAAGAGGUCAAGAACUUCUUGAAUUAGACAAUGAUGCAUUAAAAUGCUUUGGAAUCACUAAGAAGAGAGAUCGUGACUUCCAGUCAAGAUGGCGGUGUAGAAGCAGCGAAAGUUCAGACCUCGGAAACCCUUCCCUACCGAUCCAAACAGAGUGCUCCUAAGCCACCGAAAUUCAAGCUGAACAACAGGAUAGACCUGGAGAAACCUCCUCCUGGACCUGGAUCAAAAGUUACCACACCCCAAAAGCCAGAACCCUAGAUCACUCGGAUCUAAGGGGUAGAUAGAAAGAAGGUCCCAGGACCCAUCCCCCCCAACCCAGAGUGCUGAGCCCAAGGCAGCAGCGGGAACCUCAGGGCUCUGAGGACUCACCUUGAAAGCAACUCGAGCCAGUCUCCGGAGGGCCCAACACAGAAGGCAGGGAAGCAUAGAGAGAAGGGGGAAGCCUGUGGCCCCCUGGCUGGGUUCUUCCAUCUGGGUCUCAGGGGAGGUCCCAGCCUUGGGGCACCAGCUGAGCCCAAUCCCAUAGGGAGCCCUCAGAGCUACUUAAAGGACAGAGGGCUCAGGGCUGGCAAAGAGGUGGCUCCGAAGAGCCUACUUUGAAAGUAACCCGGGCCAGUUUCCAGGCAUUCAACACAGACUGUGGAAGAGGAGGUUGCUGCUUUUCUCUUUCUUCUUUUUUUCGGCUCUGGGAUCAUUGGGCCCACACUACCUGAACCUAAUCCCAUCAGGAGCCAUCAGAGUCCAGGCAAGCCACGACCCCUCCCCCCUUAGAGAGCAGGGUCUUCUGAAAGGACCAGCUGAACCUAAUCCCAUCAGGAGCCCUCAGAGCUACUGAAAGGACAGAAAACUCAGGGCUGGCAAAGGGGUUGCUCCAAAGAGCUUUCCUUGAAAGUAACCCUGGCCAGUUUCUCGGCACUCAACACAGACUGUGGAAGAGGAGGUGGCUGCUUUUUUUUUUUCCUUUUUUUGGCUCCGAGAUCUUUUGGCCCACACCACCUGAACCUAAUCUCAUCAGGAGCCCUUUGAGUCCAGGCAAUCCACAACCCCUCCCCCCUUAGAGAGCUGGGUCUUCUGAAAAAACAGAAACCUAGACGUGAAGUCAAGAUGGCAGCCUAGAAGGAGCAUAGACCUGGCAGCCUGGCCAGAGCUUUAGAGAUCCUCCAUAUCUGCUCCAGCCGUCCAGGAAGUUUAAAACUCAGAAUAAACUCAGCCCAACUAGACUGAACUCA